GACGGCCUUGGAAGAGCGAUCCGAGAGCCGGCAGAACCAAUGUCUCCCACGCGAGCGAUCGUGGGAGACAAAGUUCUGUGUAAAUGAAUUCUGAAGAGACUUGGUGCAAUUGCCAGCAAGUACUGGUUCGGACCGAGCUUGUUGAAGCAGACACUGCAUCGCUCGGGAAGAGCAAGCUCUUCUCGCAGUUCUGUAGUCCUU
rnacentral:sRNA from 10 species